rnacentral:rRNA from 1 species
GAUUUCUGGUACGGCGCACUUGGCCCGCCUCGGCUACGAGGUUGUGUGCCGGUGUGCGCCUGCCAUCCUUCUGCAGAACGUUUCUACCUUCACUGGAUGAAACGGUAUGCAGAUCAUUUACUUUGAAAAAAUUAGAGUGUUUCAAGCAGGCUUUAUGCUAUGAAUACAUUAGCAUGGAAUAAUAAUUUAGGACUUCGGUUCUAUUUUGUUGGUUUCUAGGACUGAAGUAAUGAUUGAUAGGGAUAGUUGGGGGUGCUAGUAUUCAGCGGCCAGAGGUGAAAUUCUCGGAUUCGCUGAAGACUAACUUAUGCGAAAGCAUU